GAGCGGAGGAUGCGACAGAAAUAAGGUUGCUGAUGAGCUGACCUCACAGAGGAGCCCACCCUGGCCUGUCUCGUGGCCUGAUGUCAUCCCAGGGUCCCUACCAGGGGGAGAGUGAGGCAGAGCUGAGACCAGAUGCGAGCCAGCCACUGCUGGAUCUGCAGACUGGAGGAAAGGCCUGUGAGCCUAAGAGCACGGGCAGCAUCAGGAGGGUGGUAAAGCAGGAAAUAGGUUCCCUCCCAGGGCUGCGGGAGGAAGGAACACACCCCAGAGACGCCCAGCCAGAUCUCUGACCUCUGGAACAGCAGCAAAGAAAACUUGCAACUUGCAUGAUUUAAGUCGCUAAGCUGGUGGUAAUUUGUUACAGUAGCAACAGGAAACUCCCAUGGGAUACAUGGGGUCCAGGUCGGGGACUCUGAAUGUAUCCUCGGAGCUCUCUGGCUAGUGGUUAAAGCUGCCAUCUGGGUUGCUGCAGAUCCAAGUUUCCAUGUUGGAUGCAGGAGACAGAGCUGGCCUGUCAAAUCAGGGCACGGGGGAGGGGACACUGUUUGGUAACCACCACUGGAAAGCAGGUUCUCCCCACGGAGAAAGACGGCACCGGAUCCCUACCUCACACCACACUGGACAGAAGCCGCUCCAGGGUUUGGGCGAUGCCGCUGGCGGCAGUGUCCCCGUGAAGCCUCCUGGGAGGCAAGCGGUGGCUUCUCGAGGAUGCCACCCACCUACUCGGGCAGUGAGCACGUCCAAGAGAGAGUAACACGCCCCGUGACUCAGACGCUGUGCCAGGUGUCGGUGGGGCCAAGCCGCUGCCAGGCACUAGAGCAGUGGGAUGGAUCUAGUUCACAGGAAGGUCUUCUGGGGCAGGAGGAAAUCCAGGCUCGGAGGGGAAGAAGCUGGGAGCGAGUGUGGACAAAUCCUGCUCGCUGAGCCUCAGGGGCACCCGAGACAGCCCAGAGGCCAUCCUUUGAACCUAAGGAGGAUUACCGGGUUUCUGAAAGGACUGCACACAAACAAAGGGCCCCAGAGUGUCAUUCCUCUGGACGAAACCUCCCAAGGCUUCCAACAGUUGGUGCAGGAGGGGAAGUUUCGGGAAGCCUACCUGAGCGUCUCCGCGUCAGCAUGGGAAGGGCAGGACUGCGGCCCCCAGUACCAGGCUCUGGCCCAGAGCAUGUGGCAGGUGGUCCAGCAGGCUCUGGAGGGCGUCAGGCACGGCCAGGAGCUGGAGCUGAAGCUCCAGGCAGUGCUGGACACUGUGGAGUACACACAGGACAAGCCCCCGAGCCUGGAGGCUGGUACCCUCGAGGAUGGCACAGUCGCCACCUGGGGCAGUCAGCUGGAGAGGCUGCUGAGAAAUGACGCUGAGGCCCGAGUGCCCACCUGGGACCCCAGGGGCAAGCUGGGCCCCUUCCUGGAGAAGCUAGAGGAGGCUGUGAGACAGGGCCUGGGGUCACUGAGGGCGAGCCAGCUGGGGGCCCGCCUCUGGACGAUCUACAGCACCUGCUUCCAGGAGGUCCUCCUCAGCCGCCUCUUGGAGCUCAAGCACUCCUGUGGCGCCAGCUGGAACAGCUGCUGCGUGCUGUAUGCCUGGGGCAGGACGACCUUGUUUGGGCAGCUGGGGGAGAUGCUUCCGAAUGCACCUUCCACCUCCCAGAAGCCCACGGCCGGGUACCUCUUGGACUCCAUGAUGUUUGUGACCUGGAUGUCCCAAGUGCAGAAGAAGCUGGUGGGGCUGAUCCAGGAAAGGCUGGAGGAGACUCUAGAAAAUGUCCUGAUCUGCGAUCAGAAAAAGUGGGCCCCGUUCUCCCACCCAACGUUCCUUGAAAUCUUCCAGCUGCUGGAAGAAGCCAUGAUUGCAGCAAGACCCAUUGGACCAUCGGUCACUAGCCAAGUUCAAGCCAUGGUUCUGGAAAUAUUUUCAAAGUUUCUGAACAGGUACCAGGACAAGGCUGUCCACUUCCUGCAGCAGAACGCCACUGCGGGGGCCUUCCCCGAGGUGCACGUGCUGGGAAACUGCUGCAUCCUCAGGAAAACGUGGCAGGAGCUGAGUCAGGCAUGCUUUCCACCUGCAGACCUGGUGACUGCGGUACAGGGUGCCAUCCACGCCAUUGAGGGCCACAGCCGGGACCACCUCCUGCUUAGAGUCAGAGCCCUGUGCCAGAAUCUGCUGAGGGGCCACUUCGGGAGGAAGGAGAGGGAUCUGGUCAAUGCUCUGAAGUCCCUGUGGCAGGGCCUGGAGGGCUGUCCCAGCCUGCACUCCACUCCCGUGUAUGAGGGUGCACCGCUAAGGCCAGCCAGACCGUGUCCUGGGACAGCUUUCACUCGGGCCUCUCCAUCUUGUCUUGUGGAGAGCAGAGCAUCAUGCAAAGUUUGCACAUGGUGGUCUUUGGGGAGUACGUCCAGGCCCUGGCCACCCACCUCAGGAUGCUGGCGCCCAGGAAGUGGGGGAGCCUGAGGAUUCAGGUGGAAACGGACAUCUGGAAGUUGGACAACAUCUUCAGGAAGCACGGGGGUCUGGCAGAACGCUGACUGCCCUGAACAGAGGUGGAGGUGAGCAGUAGCUUCAGGGAACCUCGGGCUGUGGAAGUUGUGUGACUCCAGCAGCUACCUAAGGCAAAGGAUCUGGGUGCCCCUGAUCCCAGUGCCCACCCAGUGGCCACUUCAUAAAUGACAGCCUGAUAUUCAGGAGGAAGCCAAUCCUUCCGAAGUCUGGACUCUUCUAUCAGAAGGAAUGCCUGGGGCAUUUACCCUGGAACCCAGCCACCAAGCUAUAAGGUAGGCCAGGCCUUGUGGGAGGCCACGUGCAGGUGUCCCAGCCAGCGACUCUACUGAGGACCCAGCCAGGGCUAUGGACGUGAACCCCAGAUGUUUGAGUGAGGAGAGCUUCAAGAUUCCUGCAGCCCCAGCUGCCGUCUGAUGUAUUAUCAGAAUUAACUUGUGUCUGCACACCUGGACACUUGCCUGGUGUGGAGACCCCCACACCUGGUGUCAGAAGAGCAGUCGCAGGAAAUGUCUUGGGUGGACAUUCAGGUACCGCUGCCUCCGGGCUAUGUGAAUAAAUCGCAGCUGACAGGCCUCUGGUUAACUCUAGAGUUGGAAGCAGUCAUUUCUCUUUUUCCUUUUUUUUGUCCUCCUUGUCCACAUUCUCCUUUCUGGAAAAUUAAAGAGUAGCUCCUGUA